UCAUUUUGUUUUUCGGUUAUAAAACAACAACUGGAUUUAUGGUCACUGUCACCAAUCCAAAAGUGUAAUUAUCACAACAGAAGCUUUUCGGAUGCAGCGAUCAAAAUGAUGAUUCUCCAGGACCGCCAACUGGCGAUGAUCUCUGCAGCCGCAAAGAACGAAUCAGAAUUUAAAGAGGAGCCUACGUAUCGCAAUAAUAGAACUAGCAGCAGUCGUGAACCGAUAAGUACUUCUCGGACCACAGCAAUUCCGGUAACACCCCCAACAGCAACGAACAUUUUACAACCUAUCAUAUCCAAGAAUAUCAUUUUGGACUAAUCUGGCAUUAAUUUCGGUUGAUUGGCGCGACAAAGAAGACGGUCCAGUUUACAUGAUGGAUGAUGUAUUGGCGGAACCAAAAACCAGAGCCUAUGCAGCUAGUACCGUUAAGUUAAUUAUGGAUUUGCUAGCAUUUGUUAUACUGCACACCGAGCAUCAACGAGAAAUAAAUCAUUGCCAUCUUGACCCGUAAAUAAAGGUCAAUGAAAAUUAGGUUAUGCGUCUGCCCCACAUCAUCUCUCGGCUUUCACUCGCAAAAGUACGAUGUUCCUGGAGCACAUAGAUUAUUCGUGAUUGAAUCCUGAUCAGCGUAUUCCUCAAAGUUUAUAUGCAGCGGUAAUUCGUCGACACUUUUAGUUUUUUGUUCCUAAGUACGAUCGAUGAGUCAACGAAAUUUCAGCUGCGCAUCUGUCGCCGCGUUUAAAUACGUUGACGCCAGUGAAUAUAAUAAAAUAAUCGAUUGUUUGAUAUUAACCAUCAAA